rnacentral:rRNA from 1 species
UAACGCGUGAGGAACCUGCCUCAAAGAGGGGGACAACAGUUGGAAACGACUGCUAAUACCGCAUAAGCCCACGGGUCGGCAUCGACCAGAGGGAAAAGGAGUGAUCCGCUUUGAGAUGGCCUCGCGUCCGAUUAGCUAGUUGGUGAGGUAAUGGCCCACCAAGGCGACGAUCGGUAGCCGGACUGAGAAGUUGAACGGCCACAUUGGGACUGAGACACGGCCCAGACUCCUACGGGAGGCAGCAGUGGGGAAUAUUGCACAAUGGGGGAAACCCUGAUGCAGCGACGCCGCGUGGAGGAAGAAGGUCUUCGGAUUGUAAACUCCUGUUGUUGGGGAAGAUAAUGACGGUACCCAACAAGGAAGUGACGGCUAACUACGUGCCAGCAGCCGCGGUAAAACGUAGGUCACAAGCGUUGUCCGGAAUUACUGGGUGUAAAGGGAGCGCAGGCGGGAAGACAAGUUGGAAGUGAAAUCUAUGGGCUCAACCCAUAAACUGCUUUCAAAACUGUUUUUCUUGAGUAGUGCAGAGGUAGGCGGAAUUCCCGGUGUAGCGGUGGAAUGCGUAGAUAUCGGGAGGAACACCAGUGGCGAAGGCGGCCUACUGGGCACCAACUGACGCUGAGGCUCGAAAGUGUGGGUAGCAAACAGGAUUAGAUACCCUGGUAGUCCACACCGUAAACGAUGAUUACUAGGUGU